UAACAACUGUACAAGGGUUUAGAAUACCUGUUAUUGUCUGAGUGGAAUCUAUGAUUUCUCUAUUUUUAUUAUUCUGGAUUGCUUUUACUUAAAAAAGCUUUAUUUUUACUUGCUAUUCUAAGUCCUUGUUAGCCGUCUUUCUCUUCUAUGCCUUAUCUUGUGAAUCCCAUAAAAGGUGAUAACUCUAGUUCAUGAUACCCAAAGAACUAUAUCUACCAAAAUAUAUUCAACUAUAUCUAUUAAAAAAUUAUAUGCCCCUAGAUUUUCCGAGUAUUUAUUAAUUAAGAGUUGUGAGACUUGAUUGAUAGUUAUUGGUGCCCUAUACAGUGAGUACAGGAGAGUUUGCUUUAAUUUUACAGCAGCAAAACUUUAUUAUUGAGUUAUUUAUCAAUAAAAGAAGAGUUAGAAACGAAACUUCUAUCUCCUACUAUAUAAAUCACUAAGAGCAAUAGAAAGCAAGACAAAAACAAACUUAGUGUAAACUAAUCCUCUUUUGAAUCCUGGGGGUUUUUGUUUACCCGACUCUCAAAAUCAUAAGAAGGAACCACAAAUUACCAAAAAGUGAUAGAGGAUGGCAUAGCCACAGGUGAACAUAGUUUUCCUUACAUGUCCUAAAAUCAUUUUUGGUUUGUUAUGAACAAACACAUCAUUUACAUAAUCAUUGAUGCAAUGUCAAAGUAUUUUGUGCAGCUGUCCUUACUGUCAGACUAGGCUAAGACUAAGGACCGCUGUGGUAGAGACCAUAGUCUAGUGGAAAUAGAAACAGAAUCUUCGAGACUGAGGUGUUAAAGUGCUUCAAGAAACUGAUGACAAUUUUUUAGGAUGUUCCUGAUAACGAAUCUUUUCAGCUAAAGAGGGGGAGGUCAAGCAUGCCUACCUGCCAAGUUCUCCAUACAGUAGGUCACUCAAGAAAUAGGAGCAAAGUAAAGGGCACCCUUUUUCCAUAUGUGAAGGCACUAAUACAAAUAAAAUAGAUGUUGGACCUGUCACAUUCCAAAAGUUAAAUUAAAACCUAAGGAAAAACCUACAAGCAAGUGUCAUACAGCCUUCAGAUGAUAUUCUACAAGUACAUUCUGUGAAGGGUCCAGCCCUAAGAGCAAACUCAAUCCAGGAAUAUCGUUUGUUUUGAAUUAGUUGUGCUGAUUUAGGAUGGAAGAGUUAACAAGAACAUAGCUUAAGUAAACAAAUUUCCCUCUGUUCAGGUUUUAGCGGGUGAAGUA